rnacentral:tRNA from 1 species
GGAAGCGUGGCCGAGCGGUUUAAGGCACCGGUCUUGAAAACCGGCGACGGGCGACUGUCCGUGAGUUCGAAUCUCACCGCUUCCGCCA